GAUGAAGAACGUAGCGAAAUGCGAUAAGUAGUGUGAAUUGCAGAAUUCAGUGAAUCAUCGAAUCUUUGAACGCACAUUGCGCCCCUCGGUAUUCCGUGGGGCAUGCCUGUUCGAGCGUCAUUUAACCCCUCAAGCCUAGCUUGGUAUUGGGUGCUUGUCCCGCCUCUCGCGCGGCGACUCACCUCAAAGUCAUUGGCAGCCCGCAUCUCGCCGGCCGUGAGCGCAGCACAGACGCGCUCUUGGCAACGACGGAUCGGCUCUCCAAAAGCUUAUUUCAAUCACUGACCUCGGAUCAGGUAGGGAUACCCGCUGAACUUAAGCAUAUCAAUAAGCGGAGGA
rnacentral:misc_RNA from 1 species